rnacentral:pre_miRNA from 1 species
AUUACCUGGGGAUCUUGUUAAAAUGCUGAUUCUGAUUCAGCAGAUCUGGGGUGGGACCCAAGAAUCUGAAUUUCUAACAAGCUCCCAGGAGAUGCUGA